rnacentral:tRNA from 1 species
AGGGUAGUAGCUCAGUUGGUAGAGCACCGGUCUCCAAAACCGGCGGUCGUGGGUUCGAGUCCCUCCUGCCCUGCCA